rnacentral:rRNA from 1 species
UACGGAGGAUGCAAGCGUUAUCCGGAAUGAUUGGGCGUAAAGCGUCCGCAGGUGGCUGUGUAAGUCUGCUGUUAAAGAGUGAGGCUCAACCUCCAGACGUCGAUCGAAACCAUCUGGCUAGAGUCCGGAAGAGGAGAAUGGAAUUCCUGGUGUAGCGGUGAAAUGCGCAGAUAUCAGGAGGAACACCGGUGGCGAAGGCGGGUCUCUGGGCCGAUACUGACGCUGAGGAGCGAAAGCGUGGGGAGCGAACAGG